GACAGAGGUGCCGAGCGUUAAUCGGAAUUACUGGGCGUAAAGCGUGCGCAGGCGGUUUUGUAAGUCUGUCGUGAAAUCCCCGGGCUCAACCUGGGAAUUGCGAUGGAGACUGCAAGGCUAGAAUCUGGCAGAGGGGGGUAGAAUUCCACGUGUAGCAGUGAAAUGCGUAGAGAUGUGGAGGAAUACCGAUGGCGAAGGCAGCCCCCUGGGCCAAUACUGACGCUCAUGCACGAAAGCGUGGGGAGCAAACAGG
rnacentral:rRNA from 1 species